rnacentral:miRNA from 1 species
GCGCAGCUCAGGCUGGCCUUGAGCUCACACUGUAGUCCAGGCUGGCCUCGAGCUCGCAACAAUCCUCCUGCCUCAGCCUCCCGAGUGCUGGGAUUACAGGCGUGCGCCACCAUGCCCG